UCUAAAUGGAGAGCUUGAUCCUGGCUCAGAAUAAACGUUGGCGGUGCGCCUUAUGCAUGCAAGUCGGACGGUUGAGCGCGUAACUUGUUAUGUGCUCGAUAGUGGCGAACGGCUGAGUAACACGUAAGUAAUCUACCUUGGAGCAGGAAAUAACCUGUCGAAAGGCGGGCUAAUGUCCCAUGUGGUAACGAAGCAUAUGCUUGGUUACUAAAGUCUUCGGGCGCUCUGAGAGGGGCUUGCGUCUGAUUAGCUAGUUGGUAGGGUAAUGGCCUACCAAGGCGAUGAUUGGUAGCUGGUCUGAGAGGAUGAUCAGCCAGAUGGGGACUGAGACACGGCCCCAACUCCUACGGGAGGCAGCAGCAAGGAAUCUUGGGCAAUGAGCGAAAGCUUGACCCAGCGACACCGCGUGAGGGAAGAAGGCCCUCGGGUUGUAAACCUCUUUUCUUGGGGAAGAAUUCUGACGGUACCCAAGGAAUAAGCCUCGGCCAACUACGUGCCAGCAGCCGCGGUAAUACGUAGGAGGCGAACGUUAUUCGGAUUUACUGGGCGUAAAGGGAGCGUAGGCGGUUCUUCAAGUCAGAUGUGAAAUCUUUUGACUCAAUCAGAAGGCGCCAUUUGAUACUGAGGGACUUGAGAAUAGCAGAGGGAAAUGGAAUCCCCAGUGUAGCGGUGAAAUGCGUAGAUAUUGGGGAGAACACCAGUGGCGAAGGCGAUUUCCCAGGUUGUUUCUGACGCUGAGGCUCGAAAGCGUGGGGAGCGAAGCGGAUUAGAUACCCGCGUAGUCCACGCCCUAAACGGUGGACACUAGACAUAGGG
rnacentral:rRNA from 1 species